rnacentral:rRNA from 1 species
UCCUACGGGAGGCAGCAGUGAGGAAUAUUGGUCAAUGGGCGAGAGCCUGAACCAGCCAAGUCGCGUGAGGGAAGACGGUCCUAUGGAUUGUAAACCUCUUUUGCCGGGGAGCAAAAAGCGGUACGUGUACCGCAUCGAGAGUACCCGGAGAAAAAGCAUCGGCUAACUCCGUGCCAGCAGCCGCGGUAAUACAUAGGGAGCAAGCGUUAUCCGGAUUUAUUGGGUGUAAAGGGUGCGUAGACGGGAAAUUAAGUUAGUUGUGAAAUCCCUCGGCUUAACUGAGGAACUGCAACUAAAACUGGUUU